AACGAACGCUGGCGGCAGGCCUAACACAUGCAAGUCGAACGCCGUAGCAAUACGGAGUGGCAGACGGGUGAGUAACGCGUGGGAACAUGCCCUUUGGUUCGGAAUAACUCAGGGAAACUUGAGCUAAUACCGGAUAAGCCCGAGAGGGGAAAGAUUUAUCGCCGAAGGAUUGGCCCGCGUCCGAUUAGCUAGUUGGUGAGGUAACGGCUCACCAAGGCGACGAUCGGUAGCUGGUCUGAGGGGAUGAUCAGCCACACUGGGACUGAGACACGGCCCAGACUCCUACGGGAGGCAGCAGUGGGGAAUAUUGGACAAUGGGCGCAAGCCUGAUCCAGCCAUGCCGCGUGAGUGAUGAAGGCCCUAGGGUUGUAAAGCUCUUUCGCCAGGGACGAUAAUGACGGUACCUGGAUAAGAAGCCCCGGCUAACUUCGUGCCAGCAGCCGCAGUAACAC
rnacentral:rRNA from 1 species